ACCUCGCGAGAGCAAGCGGACCUCAUAAAGUGCGUCGUAGACCGGAUCGGAGUCUGCAACGCGACUCCAUGAAGUCGGAAUCGCUAGUAAUCGUAGAUCAGAAUGCUACGGUGAAUACGUUCCCGGGCCUUGUACACACCGCCCGUCACACCAUGGGAGUGGGUUGCAAAAGAAG
rnacentral:rRNA from 1 species